CAUGAACUAGAAUUCGUUUCCAAGUCAGGAAGGUGCUGUCUCAGUUUAUGACAUUGCUGAAGGAGGAGCUGGAGAUUGGUUUAGAGGCAAAAUCUCCAAGGGACAUUGAAACAGUUCCAACGCCUAUAGAUACAAGUCUGAAAGCAGACCAGGAACAAUCUCCGUUGGAUCCAAAUGAAUAUAAGCUGAUUAUGAAGACCGCAUAUGAAUCAAAGGGGAGUGCUAGGCUCACACUCGUAACUUGCCACGUGUGAGCAAAAAAACUCAUACAAAUUUGUUCUUUUAUGUUCCUUGUAUGCAGCAGC